rnacentral:rRNA from 1 species
GACGAACGCUGGCGGCGUGCUUAACACAUGCAAGUCGAACGGUGAAGCGCUUUCCUUUUUGGUUGGUGUGGAUGAGUGGCGAACGGGUGAGUAACACGUGAGUAACCUGCCCCCUUCUUCUGGAUAACCGCAUGAAAGUGUGGCUAAUACGGGAUAUUCUGCGCCUGCUGCAUGGUGGGUGUGGGAAAGAUUGUGCCUUUGGGUGUUUUCGGUGGGGGAUGGGCUCGCGGCCUAUCAGCUUGUUGGUGGGGUGAUGGCCUACCAAGGCGGUGACGGGUAGCCGGACUGAGAGGGUGGACGGUCACACUGGGACUGAGACACGGCCCAGACUCCUACGGGAGGCAGCAGUGGGGAAUAUUGCACAAUGGGCGCAAGCCUGAUGCAGCGACGCCGCGUGAGGGAUGGAGGCCUUCGGGUUGUGAACCUCUUUCGCCAGUGAAGCAGGCCUGCUCCUUGUGGGUGGGUUGACGGUAGCUGGAUAAGAAGCGCCGGCUAACUACGUG